UACGUAGGGAGCAAGCGUUUGUUCCGGAAUCAUUGGGCGUAAAGGCGCGCGUAGGCGGCCUCAUAAGUCCGUUGUGAAAGGUCAAAAGGCUACAACCCUUUGAAAGCCGAUGGAUACUGUGAGGCUAGAGGUCCGGAAGAGGCGAGUGGAAUUCCUGGUGUAGCGGUGGAAUGCGCAGAUAUCGGGAAGAACACCCGUGGCGA
rnacentral:rRNA from 1 species